GGUUUGAAGAUCAUCUAUCUAAAGUAUAUCUGAAUAGGCAAAUGUUGCUUGUUUCUAGCUAUUUACUAUUUUACUUUGAAAACAUCUGCAAUAGGCUAAAUAAAAGCUUAUUUUUGUAAUAAACUAAACCUGUACAUAACAUGACCACGAGUUUGACUGACUACUAUCUUGCAAUUCUUAAUUAUCCUAAACAGUUUGUAAUAGUAGUGUUCAAAAGAACUAGAGCUUUACAUUUUAGAUAGUUACAUAGGUACAAUACCUUAAAACAAAAGGUGAAACAUGUAAUAUGUUGUACCAAAACUAACCUUAAAUUUCUAUCAUAGAGCCGGGCGUGGUGGCGCAUGCCAGGACUACACAGAGAAACCCUGUCUCG
rnacentral:lncRNA from 1 species